UGGAGGUUCGCUCAUCUAGCAUGACAACAGCAUGACCUGUGCUGACUUAGGCUAAUGACCACAGUGCCAGAUACAAAAUUUAGUCCAUGAUUGUAAUCUCAAGAAAGACAGCGUAAACAGGUAGGUAGGGAGUGAAUAAACUCCUCUGAGUGUUUUCCUUGCAAGAUCAUGACGUGGUGAAACCAACUAAUCUUGGAUCUUGAUCACCUUUUGUCGGGAGGUUAACACGAGUGGUUUAGC
rnacentral:lncRNA from 1 species